rnacentral:tRNA from 1 species
GCCUUCGUGGUGUAGUGGUCUGCAUGCUCCGCGCGUAACCGAGAGGUCCGUGGUUCGAUUCCCGGCGAAGGCG